UGAACGCUGGCGGCGUGCCUAACACAUGCAAGUCGAACGCGAAAGUUUUCUUCGGAAAGCGAGUAGAGUGGCAGACGGGUGAGUAAUGCAUAGGUAAUCUACCUUUGAGUGGGGGACAACUAGUCGAAAGGCGAGCUAAUCCCGCAUAAUAUUUCAAUCCAUAAGGUUUGGAAUCAAAGAGGGGGAUCCUUUUGGACCUCUUGCUUAAAGAUGAACUUAUGUCCUAUUAGCUUGUUGGUGGGGUAAUGGCCUACCAAGGCGAUGAUGGGUAGCCGAGCUGAGAGGCUGAUCGGCCACACUGGAACUGACACACGGUCCAGACUCCUACGGGAGGCAGCAGUGGGGAAUUUUGCGCAAUGGGCGAAAGCCUGACGCAGCGACGCCGCGUGAGGGAUGACGGUUCUCGUAAUUGUAAACCUCUGUCAGGAAGGAUUAAAUGCAUAUUUGUUAAUACCUUUUAUGCUUGACUUAACUUCCAGAGGAAGCCCCGGCUAACUAC
rnacentral:rRNA from 1 species